rnacentral:rRNA from 1 species
UACGAAGGGGGCUAGCGUUGCUCGGAAUUACUGGGCGUAAAGAGCGCGCAGGCGGUCGUUCAAGUCGCGUGUGAAAGCCCCCGGCUCAACUGGGGAGGGUCACGCGAUACUGAUCGACUGGAAGGCAGGAGAGGGUGGUGGAAUUCCCGGUGUAGUGGUGAAAUGCGUAGAUAUCGGGAGGAACACCAGUGGCGAAGGCGACUACCUGGCCUGUUCUUGACGCUGAGGCGCGAAAGCUAGGGGAGCAAACGGG